rnacentral:precursor_RNA from 15 species
UUCACUCGAGGAACUAACAAAUUCAAUUUCAUGCCCGCUUGCCCUCGUGACUUUGGAAAAUGGCGGAAAAGUCAGGGGGGAAGUGGGCUGAAAUCGGAGCAAAAUCAAGCCAGUUCCGGUC